AACGAACGCUGGCGGCAGGCCUAACACAUGCAAGUCGAGCGCGCCCUUCGGGGUGAGCGGCGGACGGGUGAGUAACGCGUGGGAAUAUGCCCUUCUCUACGGAAUAGUCCUGGGAAACUGGGGGUAAUACCGUAUACGCCCUAUUGGGGAAAGAUUUAUCGGAGAAGGAUUAGCCCGCGUUGGAUUAGGUAGUUGGUGGGGUAAUGGCUCACCAAGCCGACGAUCCAUAGCUGGUUUGAGAGGAUGAUCAGCCACACUGGGACUGAGACACGGCCCAGACUCCUACGGGAGGCAGCAGUGGGGAAUCUUAGACAAUGGGGGCAACCCUGAUCUAGCCAUGCCGCGUGAGUGAUGAAGGCCUUAGGGUUGUAAAGCUCUUUCAGCUGGGAAGAUAAUGACGGUACCAGCAGAAGAAGCCCCGGCUAACUCCGUGCCAGCCGCCGCCGUAACAC
rnacentral:rRNA from 1 species